GGGGCUACACACGUCAUACAAUGGCUGGUACAGAGGGUUGCCAACCCGCGAGGGGGAGCCAAUCCCACAAAGCCAGUCGUAGUCCGGAUCGCAGUCUGCAACUCGACUGCGUGAAGUCGGAAUCGCUAGUAAUCGCGAAUCAGAAUGUCGCGGUGAAUACGUUCCCGGGUCUUGUACACACCGCCCGUCACACCAUGGGAGCGGGUCUCGCCAGAAGUAGGUAGCCUAACCGCAAGGAGGGCGCUUACCACGGCGGGGUUCGUGACUGGGGUGAAGUCGUAACAAGGUAGCCGUA
rnacentral:rRNA from 1 species